GGCGGCGUGCCUACACAUGCAAGUCGAGCGACGAGGUCCUUCGGGACCAAAGUAGCGGCGGACGGGUGAGUAACGCGUGAGCAAUCUGCCUUACACAAAGGGAUAGCCUCGGGAAACUGGGAUUAAUACCAUAUGACACUUAAAAAUCGCAUGGUUUUUAAGUCAAAGAUUUAUCGGUGUAAGAUGAGCUCGCGUCUGAUUAGCUAGUUGGUGGGGUAAAGGCCUACCAAGGCGACGAUCAGUAGCCGGCCUGAGAGGGUGAACGGCCACACUGGAACUGAGACACGGUCCAGACUCCUACGGGAGGCAGCAGUGGGGAAUAUUGCACAAUGGGCGCAAGCCUGAUGCAGCGACGCCGCGUGAGCGAAGAAGGUUUUCGGAUCGUAAAGCUCUGUCCUCUGGGAAGAAAAAAUGACGGUACCAGAGGAGGAAGCCCCGGCUAACUACGUGCCAGCAGCCGCGGUAAUACGUAGGGGGCUAGCGUUGUCCGGAUUUACUGGGCGUAAAGGGUGAGUAGGCGGUAAUGUGUGUCAGAUGUUUAAUCUAUGAGCUCAACUCAUAUCAGCAUUUGAAACUACAUAACUUGAGUGCAGGAGAGGUAAGUGGAAUUCCUAGUGUAGCGGUGGAAUGCGUAGAUAUUAGGAGGAACACCGGUGGCGAAGGCGACUUACUGGACUGUAACUGACGCUGAGACACGAAAGCGUGGGGAGCGAACAGGAUUAGAUACCCUGGUAGUCCACGCCGUAAACGAUGAGUGCUAGGUGUUGGCUGAGAAGUCAGUGCCGAAGUAAACGCAAUAAGCACUCCGCCUGGGGAGUACGGUCGCAAGACUGAAACUCAAAGGAAUUGACGGGGACCCGCACAAGCAGCGGAGCAUGUGGUUUAAUUCGACGC
rnacentral:rRNA from 1 species